rnacentral:rRNA from 1 species
AGAACGAACGCUGGCGGCAUGCCUAACACAUGCAAGUCGAACGCUCCUGGGGCUUCGGUCUCAGGGGAGUGGCGCACGGGUGAGUAGCGCGUGGGAACCUGCCCUGUUGUGGGGGAUAACCGAGGGAAACUUCGGCUAAUACCGCAUAAGCCGGUUGUCUUGAAAGAGAUGGCCGGGAAAGAUUUAUCGCGACAGGAGGGGCCCGCGUCGGAUUAGCUAGUUGGUGGGGUAACGGCCCACCAAGGCAGUGAUCCGUAGCUGGUCUGAGAGGAUGAUCAGCCACACUGGGACUGAGGCACGGCCCAGACUCCUACGGGAGGCAGCAGUGGGGAAUAUUGGACAAUGGGCGCAAGCCUGAUCCAGCAAUGCCGCGUGAGUGAUGAAGGCCUUAGGGUUGUAAAGCUCUUUCGCCCGCGACGAUGAUGACGGUAGCGGGAGAAGAGCCCGGCUAACUUCGUGCCAGCAGCCGCGGU